rnacentral:rRNA from 1 species
UACAGGGGGGGCAAGCGUUGUUCGGAAUUACUGGGCGUAAAGGGCUUGUAGGUGGCCAACUAAGUCCGACGUGAAAUCCCUAGGCUUAACCUAGGAACUGCGUCGGAUACUGGAUGGCUUGAAUCCGGGAGAGGGAUGCGGAAUUCCAGGUGUAGCGGUGAAAUGCGCAGAUAUCAGGAGGAACACCGGUGGCGAAGGCGGGUCUCUGGGCAGUAACUGACGCUGAGGAGCGAAAGCGUGGGGAGCGAACAGG